CCAAUCUGUAUUUUUGCUUUGCUGAAAAGGAGGCAUGGAUGAUAACACAACACUGACGAACUCAGGAAAUUCCCAGUCCUCAGGAGAUGUUAUUACUUUCAAUCUUACUAGAAAAUCACAAGGACCCUCAAAAAGGGAUGAAAAGCACCUUUGUAGCUCUAAAAUUAUCACCACUCUCAUCUUCUUCCUGGUGCUUUUGAUAACUACACUGGCCAC
rnacentral:lncRNA from 1 species